UGGCAUUCUAGUUUCUUAUAGUCCCUAGUGGCUGUGGGUGAUGCCAUGCCUGCCAUAAGGCUACGCCAGUUGGUCUAGUGCCUGUGGGCCAAGGCCA
rnacentral:snoRNA from 1 species